rnacentral:rRNA from 1 species
AGAAUGAACGUUGGCGGCGUGGAUUAGGCAUGCAAGUCGUACGGGCCGCAAGGCCAGUGGCGCAAGGGUGAGUAAGGCGACGGUAACCAACCCCACGGGUGGGUAUAGCCGCGGGAAACCGCGGGUAAUCCCCAGCGACGUGGCGUGCCGGCAUCGGCGUGCCACCAAAGCUCAGGCGCCGUGGGACGGGCCGUCGUGGUAUUAGCUUGUUGGCGGGGUAACGGCCCACCAAGGCGGCGAUGCCUACCGGGCGUGCGAGCGUGGCCCGGCACACUGGGACUGAGACACUGCCCAGACUCCUACGGGAGGCUGCAGUCGAGAAUCUUCGGCAAUGGGCGCAAGCCUGACCGAGCGACGCCGCGUGGAGGACGAAGGCCUUCGGGUUGUAAACUCCUGUCGAGGGGGAGAAGGGCUUAACCGCCUUGACUGAUCCCUGGAGGAGCGACGGGCUAAGUUCGUGCCAGCAGGCCGC